rnacentral:rRNA from 1 species
UGGGGAAUUUUGGACAAUGGGCGAAAGCCUGAUCCAGCAAUGCCGCGUGUGUGAAGAAGGCCUUCGGGUUGUAAAGCACUUUUGUCCGGAAAGAAAUCCUCUGGGUUAAUACCUCGGGGGGAUGACGGUACCGGAAGAAUAAGCACCGGCUAACUACGUGCCAGCAGCCGCGGUAAUACGUAGGGUGCAAGCGUUAAUCGGAAUUACUGGGCGUAAAGCGUGCGCAGGCGGUUUUGUAAGACGGAUGUGAAAUCCCCGGGCUUAACCUGGGAACUGCAUUCGUGACUGCAAGGCUAGAGUAUGGCAGAGGGGGGUAGAAUUCCACGUGUAGCAGUGAAAUGCGUAGAGAUGUGGAGGAAUACCGAUGGCGAAGGCAGCCCCCUGGGCCAAUACUGACGCUCAUGCACGAAAGCGUGGGGAGCAAACAGGAUUAGAUACCCUGGUAGUCCACGCCCUAAAACGAUGUCAACUAGUUGUUGGGGAUUCAUUUCCUUAGUAACGUAGCUAACGCGUGAAGUUGACCGCCUGGGGAGUACGGUCGCAAGAUUAAAACUUAAAUGAAUUGACGAGGUCAUAGCUGUUUCCU